UGAGGAAUAUUGGUCAAUGGGCGGUAGCCUGAACCAGCCAAGUAGCGUGAAGGAUGAAGGUUCUAUGGAUUGUAAACUUCUUUUAUAAAGGAAUAAAGUGAGGCACGUGUGCCUUUUUGUAUGUACUUUAUGAAUAAGGAUCGGCUAACUCCGUGCCAGCAGCCGCGGUAAUACGGAGGAUCCGAGCGUUAUCCGGAUUUAUUGGGUUUAAAGGGAGCGUAGAUGGGUUGUUAAGUCAGUUGUGAAAGUUUGCGGCUCAACCGUAAAAUUGCAAUUGAUACUGGCGUCCUUGAGUACAGUUGAGGUGGGCGGAAUUCGUGGUGUAGCGGUGAAAUGCUUAGAUAUCACGAAGAACUCCUAUUGCGAAGGCAGCUCACUAAACUGCAACUGACAUUGAGGCUCGAAAGUGUGGGUAUCAAACA
rnacentral:rRNA from 1 species